rnacentral:rRNA from 1 species
UACGAAGGGGGCUAGCGUUGCUCGGAAUCACUGGGCGUAAAGGGUGCGUAGGCGGGUUUUUAAGUCAGGGGUGAAAUCCUGGAGCUCAACUCCAGAACUGCCUUUGAUACUGGUCGUCUAGAGAUCGGAAGAGGUGAGUGGAAUUCCCAGUGUAGAGGUGAAAUUCGUAGAUAUUGGGAAGAACACCAGUGGCGAAGGCGGCUCACUGGUCCGAUACUGACGCUGAGGUGCGAAAGCGUGGGGAGCAACAGG